GCGCCGGUAGUGCAACGGUUUAGCACGUGCUCCCGGGAAGAGUGAGAUGUGAGUUCGAAUUCCAGCUGACGCA